rnacentral:rRNA from 1 species
CCUACGGGAGGCAGCAGUGGGGAAUAUUUGGCAAUGGAGGAAACUCUGACCCAGCAAUGCCGCGUGAAUGAAGAAGGUCUUCGGAUUGUAAAGUUCUUUAGUCAGGGAAGAAUAAAAUGACGGUACCUGAAGAAUAAGCUCCGGCUAACUACGUGCCAGCAGCCGCGGUAAUACGUAGGGAGCAAGCGUUGUUCGGAAUGACUGGGCGUAAGGGGUGCGUAGGCGGUUAUACAAGUUAGAAGUGAAAUCCGGAGGGCUUAACUCGGGUGCUAUUUCUAAAACUGUAAGACUCGAGUGCAUUAGAGGUUAGUGGAAUUUCUAGUGUAGGGGUGGAAUGCGUAGAUAUUAGGAGGAACACCAGAGGCGAAGGCGGGUAACUGGAAUGCAACUGACGCUGAGGCACGAAAGUGUAGGGAGCAAACAGGAUUAGAUACCCCUGUAGUC